rnacentral:rRNA from 1 species
GAUGAACGCUGGCGGCGUGCCUAAUACAUGCAAGUCGAGCGAACGGACGAGAAGCUUGCUUUUCUGAUGUUAGCGGCGGACGGGUGAGUAACACGUGGAUAACCUACCUAUAAGACUGGGAUAACUUCGGGAAACCGGAGCUAAUACCGGAUAAUAUUUUGAACCGCAUGGUUCAAAAGUGAAAGACGGUCUUGCUGUCACUUAUAGAUGGAUCCGCGCUGCAUUAGCUAGUUGGUAAGGUAACGGCUUACCAAGGCAACGAUGCAUAGACGACCUGAGAGGCUGAUCGCCCACACUGGAACUGAACCACGGUCCAGACUCCUGCGGGAGGCAGCAGUAGGGAAUCUUCCGCAAUGGGCGAGAGCCUGACGGAGCAACGCCGCGUGAGUGAUGAAGGUCUUCGGAUCGUAAAACUCUGUUAUUAGGGAAGAACAUAUGUGUAAGUAACUGUGCACAUCUUGACGGUACCUAAUCAGAAAGCCACGGCUAACUACGUG